CAGUAGCCGCGGUAACACGGAGGGUGCAAGCGUUAAUCGGAAUUACUGGGCUUAAAGCGCACGCAGGCGGUCUGACAAGUCAGAUGUGAAAUCCCCGGGCUUAACCUGGGAACUGCAUUUGAAACUGUCAGGCUGGAGUCUUGUAGAGGGGGGUGGAAUUCCAGGUGUAGCGGUGAAAUGCGUAGAGAUCUGGAGGAAUACCGGUGGCGAAGGCGGCCCCCUGGACAAAGACUGACGCUCAGGUGCGAAAGCGUGGGGAGCAAACAGGAUUAGAUACCCGUGUAGUCCCUGUCUCUUAUAC
rnacentral:rRNA from 1 species